UACAGAGGUGGCAAGCGUUGUUCGGAAUUACUGGGCGUAAAGGGCGCGUAGGCGGUUCGGUAAGUCCUGUGUGAAAUCCCUCGGCUCAACUGAGGAACUGCACGGGAGACUGCCGGGCUUGAGUUCGGGAGAGGGAAGCGGAAUUCCGGGUGUAGCGGUGAAAUGCGUAGAUAUCUGGAGGAAUACCGGUGGCGAAGGCGGCAUCCUGGACCGGCAUUGACGCUGAGGAGCGAAAGCCAGGGGAGCAAACGGG
rnacentral:rRNA from 1 species